AGCAGAAGGCAGUGAGGAGCUAGUGGCUCAUAGAACAUUCCAGGCUUGAGAAGGAGCAGGGAGCAACCCAGGAGCCAGGGAAGGGCUGAGGGGAGAGAGGAAGAGGAGCCUGGGAAGGUUGAAAGUGGAGCCCAGAGACUGGGCAGAAGAGCAUGUGAAUUGGAGAAGGGAAGACAGAGCCCUUGGGAGGACCCUUGCUUUGACCAGAAAUCCAGUGCAACCAAGACCAUAUCAAACUAUCCUACAGCAAGGAAAACAGAAGCACGAGAUUAUGACACAGGGAAAUCGUGAACUGGAAGUGUUACAGAGCAAUGAUGGGGAAAUAAAGGCAGUGAUGCCAUAUAGCCCAGAUGGGAAAGAGAGCCUCCAUCAACUGCAUAACUUCUAGUUAAGUUAAAGCACAUCUUUUUAGGAAGACUAUCAAAGUUUAUUUAAGGACUUCAAGUGAUGGUGAAUACAUCACUUUUUUCUUUGACCCCAGAUCAUUUGUGUGGCUCUCUUGAAAGACUGGAAAGAGUUCAGAACAUCCUCUUUGAAGUAAGGACACCAGAACUGGACACAAUAUUCCCGUGAGGUUCUCACCAAUGCCAUAUAUGGAGCUUGUUGCUCAAGACAUUGAAUAGCAGUGGACCAAGAACAGAUCCCUAUGGAAAACCACUAGAAACAUCCCAAUUUGAUAAUGAUUUGCCUUUGACAAUUACUAUUUGAAAUCACU